CAGCAGUGAGGAAUAUUGGUCAAUGGACGCGAGUCUGAACCAGCCAAGUAGCGUGAAGGAUGACUGCCCUAUGGGUUGUAAACUUCUUUUAUAAGGGAAUAAAGUGAGGGACGUGUCCCUUUUUGUAUGUACCUUAUGAAUAAGGAUCGGCUAACUCCGUGCCAGCAGCCGCGGUAAUACGGAGGAUCCGAGCGUUAUCCGGAUUUAUUGGGUUUAAAGGGAGCGUAGGUUGACAUAUAAGUCAGCUGUGAAAGUUUACGGCUCAACCGUGAAAUUGCAGUUGAUACUGUAUGUCUUGAGUGUACAAGAGGUGGGCGGAAUUCGUGGUGUAGCGGUGAAAUGCUUAGAUAUCACGAAGAACUCCAAUUGCGAAGGCAGCUCACUGGGGUACAACUGACACUGAGGCUCGAAAGUGUGGGUAUCAAACAGGAUUAGAUACCCUGGUAGUCCACACAGUAAACGAUGAAUACUCGCUGUUUGCGAUAUACAGUAAGCGGCCAAGCGAAAGCAUUAAGUAUUCCACCUGGGGAGUACGCCGGCAACGGUGAAACUCAAAGGGAUUGACGGGGGCCCGCACAAGCGGAGGAACAUGUGGUUUAAUUCGAUGAUACGCGAGGAACCUUACCCGGGCUUGAAUUGCAGAGGAACAUAGUUGAAAGAUUAUGGCCGCAAGGUCUCUGUGAAGGUGCUGCAUGGUUGUCGUCAGCUCGUGCCGUGAGGUGUCGGCUUAAGUGCCAUAACGAGCGCAACCCUUAUCAUUAGUUACUAACAGGUCAUGCUGAGGACUCUAGUGAGACUGCCGUCGUAAGAUGUGAGGAAGGUGG
rnacentral:rRNA from 1 species